UACGUAGGUGCGAGCAGUUGUUCCGGAAUUAUUGGGCGUAAAGAGCUCGUAGGCGGUCUGUCGCGUCUGCUGUGAAAAAUCCAGGGCUCAACCCUGGACCUGCAGUGGGUACGGGCAGACUAGAGUGCGGUAGGGGAGAUCGGAAUUCCUGGUGUAGCGGUGAAAUGCGCAGAUAUCAGGAGGAACACCGGUGGCGAAGGCGGAUCUCUGGGCCGUAACUGACGCUGAGGAGCGAAAGCAUGGGAGCGAACAGG
rnacentral:rRNA from 1 species